AACUGUGAGAGCAUGGCCCCCCCACACGGGUACUGAGACACGGACCCGACUCCUACGGGAGGCAGCAGUAAGGAAUAUUGGACAAUGGGCGGAAGCCUGAUCCAGCCAUGCCGCGUGAAGGAAGAAGGCGCUCAGCGUUGUAAAACUUCUUUUAAAUGGGAACAAUAACUCCGACGCGCUCGGGGCUUGAGGGUACCAUUAGAAUAAGCACCGGCUAACUCCGUGCCAGCAGCCGCGGUAAUACGGAGGGUGCAAGCGUUAUCCGGAAUCACUGGGUUUAAAGGGUGCGUAGGCUGUUUGAUAAGUCAGUUGUGAAAUACCCCGGCUUAACCGGCGGUCGUGCGAUUGAUACUGUCAGACUUGAAUCAGGUUGAGGUAGGCGGAAUGUGGCAUGUAGCGGUGAAAUGCAUAGAUAUGCCAUAGAACACCGAUUGCGAAGGCAGCUUGCUGGACCUAGAUUGACGCUGAGGCACGAAAGCGUGGGAGCAAACAGGAUUAGAUACCCUGGUAGUCCACCG
rnacentral:rRNA from 1 species